rnacentral:rRNA from 1 species
AAGAUUGGACAAUGGGGGCAACCCUGAUCCAGCCAUGCCGCGUGUGUUAAGAAGGUCUUCGGAUUGUAUAGCACUCUAAGUUGGGAGGAAGGGCUUUAGGUUAAUACCCUGGAGUUUUGACGUUACCAGCAGAAUAAGCACCGGCUAACUCUGUGCCAGCAGCCGCGGUAAUAAAGAGGGUGCAAGCGUUAAUCGGAAUUACUGGGCGUAAAGAGCGCGUAGGUGGUUCAGUAAGAUGGGUGUGAAAUCCCCGGGCUUAACCUGGGAACUGCUUUCAUAACUGCUGAGCUAGAGUACGGUAGAGGGUAGUGGAAUUUCCUGUGUAGCGGUGAAAUGCGUAGAUAUAGGAAGGAACACCAGUGGCGAAGGCGACUACCUGGACUGAUACUGACACUGAGGUGCGAAAGCGUGGGGAGCAAACA